rnacentral:rRNA from 1 species
GACGUAGGUGGCGAACGUUAUCCGGAAUUAUUGGGCGUAAAGGGUGCGUAGGUGGCCUGGCAAGUUAUCAGUGGUAAAUCGAGGCCCAACCUCGUGGAAACUGGCAAUACUGUUUGGCUUGAGUGCAGGAGAGGUUAACGGAACUCUAUGUGGAGCGGUAAAAUGCACAGAUAUAUAGAAGAACAUCAAUAACGGCGAAGGCAGUUAACUAUUCUGUUACUGACACUGAGGCACGAAAGCGUGGGGAGCAAAACGG